rnacentral:rRNA from 1 species
UACGUAGGUGGCAAGCGUUGUCCGGAUUUACUGGGUGUAAAGGGCGUGUAGGCGGGUUAUUAAGUCUGAUGUGAAAUACCGAGGCUCAACCUCGGGGCUGCAUUGGAAACUGAUAAUCUUGAGUGCAGGAGAGGAAAGUGGAAUUCCUAGUGUAGCGGUGAAAUGCGUAGAUAUUAGGAGGAACACCAGUGGCGAAGGCGACUUUCUGGACUGUAACUGACGCUGAGGCGCGAAAGCGUGGGGAGCAAACAGG